UGUUCACGGCAACGGAACAGCGUUUGCUAUUGGAAACAUAUGAAGAAUUUAAAGAUGUCAUCACCAAAAAAGGCAAUACAGCGGCAAUAAAUAAAGCAAGAGAGAAAGGUUGGCAGGAAAUUGCUGAUCGUCUCAAUGCCAGCAACUUAAGUGAAGGAAAAAUAACCUGGCAGCAGGUGAAAAUAAAAUAUAAAAAUAUAGUUCAGAAUGCGACCAAAAAGAAGACUGAGGUUGCUGGCACUGGGGGAGGGCCACCACCAGCCAGC